rnacentral:rRNA from 1 species
UACGGAGGGAGCUAGCGUUGUUCGGAAUUACUGGGCGUAAAGGGCGCGUAGGCGGAUUAGUAAGUUGGAAGUGAAAUCCCAAGGCUUAACCUUGGAACUGCUUUCAAAACUGCUAGUCUAGAGUGAAGUAGAGGAUGAUGGAAUUCCUAGUGUAGAGGUGAAAUUCAUAGAUAUUAGGAGGAACACCGGUGGCGAAGGCGAUCAUCUGGGCUUUAACUGACGCUGAGGCGCGAAAGCGUGGGGAGCAAACAGG